GUCUGUGUGUGUGUGUGUGUGUGUGUGGAAAUCUGUGUGUGUUUAGCUGUAAUCUCAUGAUUUUGGAGUGAUUUGAACUCAUGAUUGAUCUAACUCUCUCUCAGCUACGAAGCUUUGUGAUUGCUCAUGGAAUCAAUGCCGCAGAUGUGAAGAAACUUCAAGAUGUUGGGAUCUACACUUGCAAUGGCUUGAUGAUGCACAUGAAGAAGGAGGUGAAGUUAAUUUUUAAGAUUUGUGAUAUAAUAAUAAUUUCGAGAUGGCGCUUUUGGAUCUCUUCAUUGCCUCAUCAAUUCCAGUCCUAAAAGUGCUGUGGGUGACUGCACUUGGGUCAAUUCUUGCAUUAGAUCAUAUCAACAUUUUAGGGGAGGACACGAGGACGCAUAUGAAUAAUGUAAG